AUAUAUAUAUAUAUAUAUAUAUACUGUAUCUGAUAACAGCAAAGACAACGUCGGCGGUAUUGACGGCAAAAUAGGCUACAGAAUAUUUUGUUCUGUAUUGACAGGUGCCCUAUUUGAAAAUUGAUAAUUAU